GUAGGGAAUAUUAGUAAUGGGCGAAAGCCUGAACUAGCAACGCCGCGUGUGCGAAGAAGUCUUUCGGGAUGUAAACCCUUGUUGUACGGGACGAAACGAAUGACGGUACCGUACGAGGAAGCCCCGGCAAACUACGUGCCAGCAGCCGCGGUAAUACGUAGGGGGCGAGCGUUGUCCGGAAUUACUGGGCGUAAAGCGCACGUAGGCGGGCUGUCAAGUCGGCCGUGAAAGGCACUGGCUCAACCGGUGUGUGUCGGUCGAUACUGGCGGUCUGGAGUAUGAGA
rnacentral:rRNA from 1 species